rnacentral:piRNA from 1 species
UUGUUAACAUUGUCUAGAGGUC